rnacentral:misc_RNA from 1 species
AUAACGUGGACCUCACUAUAGUAACCGUUUUUUCCCGUUCCAUUCAGUCAUAUCUUUGAAUGAAACGUUCUUUGUGAUGAUGGUUACCAAGCACUGUGACUGGAGCCAAUCAUCAUUCCACUUUUAUGAUGAUAUUAUUAUCCAAUGAUGAAUUAUUAUUGAAUUCAAUAUAACUAACUGAACAUAGUAGAAGUAUUUCACAUUAUUUUAACUGAAAUAGGGAAUAUUUUCAUAUUAAAAAUAAAAUUUUGAAGAAUAUCACCAAAAAACAAACUGAAUUCUGAAAGUCAAUAUCAUAGUCAAUUUAUAAAAAUUUUUUCAAUUAAAGAAAGAUCACUUUUGAAUAAUAUAAUUCAUAAAAUAUACCGGUUGUUAUUUAACUGAAGUCAGCAUAAUUAUUGCCAUUUCAAAGCAAACACCGAACCCAACCUUUCACAUUUGAAACAUUUAUAAACAUUACACUCGAUAAAAACUCCCAAUUUCUUCCAGCAUAUUGCAAUUUCAAAUCAAAAUCCUAACCCCCUAACCUUCCUUUUCACCUUUAAAACAUCAACAACAUAACUCUACCUGGACCCUAGCCCCUUCUAGCAUAUUGUAAUUUCAAAGCAAACACUUAACCUACUAUUAUGAAACGUUAUUAAAUAUAACCUAUAUAAAACUUAACCCCUAACCCUUUCACAUUAAUUUAAUAGUUUGGUACUUAAGAUUCAUUCGACAUCUUCAGUACAAAACAUAAACAUGUGGUUUUUUUUCUAGAACUAAACAAAUAUUAUAUUUUAUGGAUAGUAAAAUGCGAGUUGAAUCUUGGCACUCAAUCAGCUGGUCGAUACACAAAGAAUACUUUUGAAUAACUAUUUGGUAACUGCGACCGUUACUGGUCGUUACUCUGUAUCUUUGACAAAGAGAAGCUUUUGUUGUUAGUCGUCAGACGACAGAACAGCUGAUAUCUAACCUCUAUUUCUCUAAGGCAGUAAGGCUCGCAACUCCAAAUGAAAAUUCUAGAUGGCAAGCACUUCCAAUGCACGCCCUAAUCCCCCAAAGAGGAGGCGUGAGGAGGAUGGGAACGUUGCCCCUCCUAAGAGAAGGUGCAUUGCACCUCAACAGGCCCCUCUUAGACGAUCUCAGAGGAUAAUACAAAGAAAUGCUGAGAGACUAGAGAGAGAGCAACAACAACAACAGCAGAUACAACAUCAACAACAACAACAACACAACAACAACAACACAACAACAACAACAACAAGAACAUCAACAACAACAACAACAACAGCAACCGGAACAGGAACCUGAUGUAUUGGAUUUAUAUUUGGAACUAUACUGGGCCAGGAUUGGCAAAGGGCCCUACUGGCCAUGCCAGAUAGUUAGGGACGAAGAUGGGAGAUUUUACAAGACAAAAAG